ensembl:lncRNA
ACCAGGACUAAACCAGAACUAAACCAGGUCUAAACCAGGACUAAACCAGGUCUAAACCAGGACUAAACCAGAACUAAACCAGGUCUAAACCAGGACUAAAACAGGACUAAAACAGGACUAAACCAGAACUAAACCAGGUCUAAACCAGGACUAAACCAGAACUAAACCAGGACUAAACCAGGACUAAACCAGGACUAAACCAGGACUAAACCAGGUCUAAACCAGGUCUAAUCCAGGACUAAAACAGGACUAAACCAGAACUAAACCAGGUCUAAACCAGGACUAAAACAGGACUAAACCAGAACUAAACCAGGUCUAAACCAGGACUAAACCAGGUCUAAACCAGGACUAAACCAGGACUAAACCAGGACUAAACCAGGACUAAACCAGGUCUAAACCAGGACUAAAACAGGACUAAACCAGGACUAAACCAGGACUAAACCAGGACUAAACCAGGUCUAAACCAGGACUAAACCAGAACUAAACCAGGACUAAACUAGGACUAAACCAGGACUAAACCCAGUGUUAAAUAGAAUCAAAUGAGUGAAACCUGAGCGGAUCCAAAGAGUCCAAAGUGUC